CUAGUGCCAAUGAGCCAUGAAGCAUAUCUUUCUGAUUGAAUGAAAGAUGCACAGUGGUUUAGCUACGAGUUAUAGCUGACAUAUCCCCUUUUGACAUGCUAGAUUUACAAGGUUGCUAAUGUUGGCAAACAUAAUUGUGGCUACUUAUGGCUAUACUUACUUAUUAUAGUCUGAUGGAUUUUAUUCCAUCAGACUAUAAUAAAACUUCUGAGGUUGACAAGUACUUUCUAAAUGCGUAAGAAAAGCAAUAUUAGGAUGUCUCUCCUAAGGCUAUUUUUUACCAGCCCAACUGGAAUAUCACUUUUCAAGAGUCGUUUCCUUGAAAGCAGUUGCAAAUAAGCAACAUCUGCACAUCACAUGACUGCAGUUCCCUGACCAAGCUGGGCGAAUUGGGCGGGAGGGGGUUUAGGCACACCAUCUGAGUCACACUGUUUCCUCUAAUACACCGGAAAAAGGGGUCAGUGAGUAACGCUGGUCUCAUCGAGUGGUUGAACAAUGUAAACGAUGUGAGGAAUCUGACAGACGCAAACCCUUUCAGGACUAUUAUCUUAGCUCAGCCUGAGCUAUUGAGUUCAGCUUCUAAUGGAUGACAACAUCACUAUGGAAACAAGUAAAACAAACAGUGUGUGGGUUUUGCAUGUAGAUGAAACAGUAGACCAACAAUUGCCAUUCACAGUUGGGUUGAUCAAAAUAGCAGCUUCCUUAAGAACAGACAGCAGUCUUUUCAAAAGUUUACAGAUCUAACAUUAAGCAGAGGUCCCUGCUCUUCCCAUUGACGCAGUUGCUGUCACCAAUUUUCCGGGCGUCCAAGGCAAUUGAAUGGUGGCCAUCCUGUAGCUGCAGCUGGGUGCUUCCUGUGCUGAUAUAGGAGCUGGGACGAUAGCCCUGUAUGGAGUGCUCUCCAUUGGCUGGGAUGGUUAGGUAAUGGCCAGUUCUCACUGACUCCCAAUCUUAUCUGGCCAGUGUUUGGAAUGAGUCUGCUGGGACACAGCAGAAUGUGUGAAACGGAAUUGGAAACCCCAUGUUCUUCCCAACAGAAAUGAAAAAUCACAAAUGAUAUCUCUUUAAUAUCUUAAUUGUUUGCCCAGACUGUAAUGAAAAUCAGCAGAGGGCAAAUUUAGAUGUUUGCUAACUUUUGCAUCUGUAUUUUUAUGCUCUACUGUUAGUGUUAUCUGUACGCACCAAGGGUCUGAGAGUAACACAAUUUUAAUUCUCUGUAUGUAUGUGCUGUACAUGUGGAAGAAAUGACAAUAAAGCAGACUUUGACUUUGACUUAAACA
ensembl:lncRNA